rnacentral:sRNA from 1 species
ACCAACAUUAAUUAUUACCAAGGUAAUGAGGAUGGAAUAAACAAUUAAGGAAUAUAAAAUGGCAAAAACAAAUACAAUACAUGUUUGUUCUUCGCAUUGCACUGCAACCUGCCAUUUUUGCACACAAGUUCGUUGGCUGAGCGCUCAAAUAUGUACCAUCAACUCUCAAUUUACAGAGAAGCGAAGAAAAAUAAAAACAUAAAAGGAAAAGGAGGAAAUCAAAAGACAAAUUUUGAAAAAUAAAUUAAAAAGAAAGAAGAAAGAAAGAAAGAAAAAUUAGAAUCCGAAGUCCAUAAAUAUAUAAAAUCCGCUGUUAAUCAGAGAUAAGUCAGUUUGUUGUAACUUGCUUUGCUCCAGCUGCUUUGCCCUCUAAAAAAAAAGAAACAAAAUAGAAUAGAAAAAUAAGAAUAAAAGAGCAAUGGAAGAAGGAGGGAGCAUAUAGCAAAGACAUCCAAAAUAUAUUCAUGAAAGCCUGGUAAAACACCCAGCUCCAAAUCCAUCCCUUUGCGUUAAUUCAGUUACUUCGAUCGAAUGAUAUAUUCCAUCCCCAUCCCGCUAGCAUAUUGCGCCCGCUCGCUUCAAGUACAAAAUAAAAGCGAAAGAAAUGGGGGGGAAAACAAAGAAAUAGAAACAACUAGUGGAGCA